GGCCAUAUCACAUCAAAACACUGGUUCUCGUAUGAUCAAUGAAGUUAAGCAAUGUUGAGCCUGAUCAGUACCUAGAUGGGUAACUGCUUGAGAAUACCAAGUACUGUA